CACUUUGCCCUAGUACGUUAUUUUUCGUUGAUCUGAACUAGGUUAGGAGCUCGAAGUAACAAGAUUUUGUUUAGUUUUAGACACAUGGAACUUAAUCGAGCUAAGCAACUUGUGCAUGACGAUGUUUCCUUAACAAGAUUUAGGAGGGAUCACGAGAUGUCUUUAAAGAGCAACUUGGUCCGCAUGAGGUAGCCACUACGGUAUGAGGUAACGAUGACUACAUCUUGGUCCGCACUUGGCUUAUUCAUCAAGUCGGACUUCAGUUUUCCAUUAGUCCAAUGUUAAAGGAAGUAAUGGCUCAUUGUGGCCUCACCUUCAUGCAGGUUUCCAUCAAUUUCGUUAGGACUAUUCUCAUUGUCGACACCUUGAUACGACGAGAGGGGUUGCCGUUCUCAAACUCCUAUCUACUGAAUGUGUAUACCGUAAUUUGACAGAAGCAGGAGCCUAGUAUAAACCUCUUUACGGGGAAUCACUAUCUGAGGCUUAGAAACAACCAACAACCUUGGUCUAGGCUUUUAACCGAGAACCCAAACAAGGACCUAUACUUGGAUGAGUUCAUUUGGGUGUCUAGAAAUUGGGAGUCCCGCCCCAAUGACGACAAGAUAUGGUCUUUCCCAAGAAUGAAUGGUAGUAUUGAUGAUGGUAAGGUCUUAUAUUGGUCACGCGCACUUACUUUUGUUGUAUUUCAUUCUUUUAUCUAAUCAUAUUAUAACAAGUUGCAUCUCAUUUUGUUUACUUUGUAGGUUUCAACUGCCAUUACAAGACUCGUUCGAAGUAGUGAAAGGUUGCAAUUAGGCACGUCAACUAAGAACUAUGCGAUGUUGCAACCUUGGUGCAAUACAAGCCAAUUUGCCGCCACACCAGUCCCACCGAACUGCAGCUGACAAUUGUCGUUCCCCUACUUUGGAUCAAAGAACCAGCAAACCCCGCCCAGCGUGCUUGCCUUCAAGUGUAAAUGAUCAGACUAUAAUUAUAUGGAUAAAUGCUAAUGUUGCUAACUUCAUAAGAAAGGUAGAUGAACAAUAAGCAGGUAUCAAUAGCUCCAGCUCGUUAAGCUUUCAAGAAGCGAGAUGCUCUUAUUGAGAAAGAGGAAGAGUAAGAGGAGGAGAAAGACAAAAAAGUUGUUUUGGGAGGUAACCUAGCCAUAGUCGAUCCAAUCCAAUUCUUAUUUCAAGCUCAAACGACGAAGCCCCGAGGUUGUCUUAGUCCACCCGAUCCCAAAAUCAAGAGCUAUAAGGGAGGAGGUUGAACACUUCUUCCAAGAAGAAGGAAAAGAAAAAGAGGUGUCCAACUCAGCUUCAAUCAUGCCGCUGAAGUUAUUGAAGAUUGGUAGGAAGUCCACCGGCACUGCUCUAUAGACGAACAAAUUUCCUUGUCGCCCGCUGAGGUUCAGCACUCUUUUCCUUCCACCCGACAGCAGAAGAAGAAGGACAAAUGGAAGGGACAUGAGGUAGGCACUACCAGGAAAAGGCGUCGUAGGACUGGCAUGAGCUUUGCUGAUGGCUCCCUUCCACCCAGUUUUUGUGCUAAACUUUUGGAAUCCCAAGUUAUCAAUUGGGGAGUUCGGCCAUCAUGUGACCUAUGACUACACUUCACAGGACUUCAAGACUUGUUUUGUAGUAGCGUAGGCAGUAAUGCUGAAGUGCUAUGUUGCCAAGCGCGAUAAGGAGGACGGCGUGAAAGACUACAAUGUCGAUUCAGCAAGAACUCCAAGUUAAGUAUUGAUUUAGACUUGUUCAAAUUUUACUUUCAAUAAUACUUAUAAUUUAACUAAAUAUUUUUCGUUGGCUCUUUGAAAUCAGUGGUGAACUACCAGCGUGAGAAGAAAUGCUCGGAUGAUUUGAAGACGGCUUAGAAACGCUCGGAGGAGGAACUCGUCGCUACUAUCGAGGACAUGAAAAAGAAAUAUAAAGAGAUCCUCGAGCUCCGAUAGGUAGCUCACAAGCCUUGUACUAGCGCGUUUACAAACAUGGCUAGAACAAGAUCGAUAACUUUUAUGUCUGCAAUGCCAAGGAUAGAGCGAAGAUCUUCCAUGAGGUUUGGUUAGCCUACCUGAAGGAGAUUGGCAUAUCCUUUGAUCAUCCGGCGUGGUUUGCCAAUGGCAUACCCCGAUCCCACUCUAAAAUUAAUCACCAUCAUCUCCGAGUUUUGAUGAAGAGGAAUACUUUAACUACCUGUGUAUGGGAUGACAACAUGAAGAUGGGAGCAACCGAGGGGGAGGUGAAGAAGGAAGUAGAUCAAGCAGCAUGUGGUUCCUUGGACAACCCUCCGACUCCGAAGGAGUGAAGCUGACCUGACACCGGGGUUUGUCUAUUUUGAGAAUUUUCUAAGAAAGUUGUAAUUAAAUUUCCAAACAAAUCCCGUCAAGGACAAACACUUUACUUCUGUAAAUAGAUUUCAUUUCCUUUCUAACUCGUUUUACCCCCUUGCAUGCUUUAACGAAUUUUUGUUUCACAUGGAAUAUCUAUUGAAGGUUUAGGAACCUGAGGUCGGUGCUCAG
rnacentral:lncRNA from 1 species